GCCCUUUUCAAGUUCUCCUUGUGCCUGUACCGUCAGUUGUCGGCUUGCCGACUAUGGCGAUAAAUGGAGCAUGGAAUAAGCGUUGCGGACCCGGGGGCGGUACCCGGCGCCUCCACCAACUUUCCCGGCGAGAAUGUCGUCAGGUUUCGAGGGGGCGAAAUAGGAUCGACGCGCGUGGUAAAGAUGUAGCUUUCGCUCGGCAUGGUACCACCGAUAUCGGGCCAUAUUGUAGUUGCGAAUGACAACUAUGCUGAGGCACGCCUCGCUGCGUAAGCAGUCGGGUAGCCUUAAUUAAGUCCAGGCGGUUUGCACCGUAUGGCGGGGUUUGGGGCGCACCUGGCAACAGAAGCGUCCCGCU
rnacentral:tmRNA from 1 species